UCAUGGCUCAGAUUGAACGCUGGCGGCGUGCUUAACACAUGCAAGUCGCGCGUGAAAGGACUUCGGUCCGAGUAAAGCGGCGCACGGGUGAGUAACGCGUGGAUGAUCUACCCAUGAGUUAGGAAUAACGGCUGGAAACGGUCGCUAAUACCAAAUACGCUCCGAUUUCAACUUCGGGGGAAAGGUGGCCUCUGCUUGCAAGCUACUGCUCAUGGAUGAGUCCGCGUCCCAUUAGCUAGUUGGUGGGGUAACGGCCCACCAAGGCGACGAUGGGUAGCCGGUCUGAGAGGAUGACCGGCCACACUGGGACUGGAACACGGCCCAGACUCCUACGGGAGGCAGCAGUGGGGAAUAUUGCGCAAUGGGCGAAAGCCUGACGCAGCGACGCCGCGUGAGGGAUGAAGGUCCUCGGAUCGUAAACCUCUGUCAGGAGGGAAGAACCGCCACGGUGCUAAUCAGCCGUGGUCUGACGGUACCUCCAAAGGAAGCACCGGCUAACUCCGUGCCAGCCGCUGC
rnacentral:rRNA from 1 species